rnacentral:misc_RNA from 1 species
GAUGAAGAACGUAGCGAAAUGCGAUAAGUAAUGUGAAUUGCAGAAUUCAGUGAAUCAUCGAAUCUUUGAACGCACAUUGCGCCCGCCAGUAUUCUGGCGGGCAUGCCUGUCGGAGCGUCAUUUCAACCCUCGCGCCCAUCUGGGCUGCGGUGUUGGGGACCGGCCUGCCCCCCGGGGCGCGCCGCCCCCCAAAUUCAGUGGCGGUCUCGCUGCAGCCUCCCUUGCGUAGUAGCACACCUCGCACCGGAGCGCAGCGCGGCCACGCCGUAAAACCCCCGACCCCCAUGAGUUUGACCUCGGAUCAGGUAGGAAUACCCGCUGAACUUAAGCAUAUCAAUAAGCGGAGGA